GCUACUUGCACAAGCACUUCCUGAUUCGCCGUAAUACAGCUCAUCAGCUUCCGGUUCCAAGAUGGCAACGUUCUACACCCGGUGUUUACAGGAGCUGCCGACAAUAAAUAUCACAGAUGUGCAUCGUUUAUGUCGGGAAACAAAAACUCCGACAAGCAGAUUGGAGAAGGGGUUUAGGCUGUAUGCUUCGACCUACAUUCACAGCUAGGAAGAUCAAGCUUUGUGAUUCAGCAGCCAAGGGAUGAAAAAAGAAAGAGUUAAUCUAUGGGCUGGAGCAGCUGUCUCUGAGAGGAAA